rnacentral:tRNA from 1 species
GAGAAAGUCAUAGUGGUUAUGGUGUUGGCUUGAAACCAACCUCAGGGGGUUCGAAUCCUUCCUUUCUUA